rnacentral:tRNA from 1 species
CAAAGGGUAGUUUAGGAUAAAAUAUUAAUUUUGGGGAUUAAUGAUGAGAAAUUUUCUUUCCUUUGA